ACACGAACCUCGCCGGAGAGCCGCCGCACCCGAGAGCACCGCUGCCGGUAAGCUUCGAUUUUUCGUAAUUUUUUGGCCCCCCGAGGGCCCUAGGGUUGUUUUAUCACAGAGACCGAUGCAAGUGUGGCCGAAUUCGGCCAGAAACGGCUAAAAACGGCCAACCCAAGGUGAAUCGCCGUCGCUUGCGGCGGUGCCGUCGUCGGAGCACGACGAAGCCGCCGUGCCGGAUUUGCGAUAUUG
rnacentral:lncRNA from 1 species